AGAAUCAACGCUGGCGGCGUGCCUAACACAUGCAAGUCGAACGAGAAAGUGGAGCAAUCCAUGAGUAAAGUGGCGCACGGGUGAGUAACACGUGACUAACCUACCCUUGAGUGGGGGAUAACCUAGGGAAACCUGGGCUAAUACCGCAUAAUACCUACGGGUCAAAGGAGCAAUUCGCUUUAGGAGGGGGUCGCGGCCGAUUAGUUAGUUGGCGGGGUAAUGGCCCACCAAGACGAUGAUCGGUAU
rnacentral:rRNA from 1 species